rnacentral:rRNA from 1 species
GACGAACGCUGGCGGCGUGCUUAACACAUGCAAGUCGAACGAUGAAGCCGGAGCUUGCUCUGGUGAAUUAGUGGCGAACGGGUGAGUAACACGUGAGUAACCUGCCCUUGACUCUGGGAUAACUGCUAGAAAUGGUAGCUAAUACCGGAUACGACCCUCGGAGGCAUCUCCAGGGGGUGGAAAGAAUUUCGGUCAAGGAUGGACUCGCGGCCUAUCAGCUAGUUGGUGAGGUAACGGCUCACCAAGGCGACGACGGGGAGCCGGCCUGAGAGGGUGACCGGCCACACUGGGACUGAGACACGGCCCAGACUCCUACGGGAGGCAGCAGUGGGGAAUAUUGCACAAUGGGCGCAAGCCUGAUGCAGCAGCGCCGCGUGAGGGAUGACGGCCUUCGGGUUGUAAACCUCUUUUAGUAGGGAAGAAGCGAAAGUGACGGUACCUGCAGAAAAAGCACCGGCUAACUACGUGCCAGCAGCCGCAGUAA